UGCAUGGGAGGGGAGGAAAACAUGGUUUUAUUGUGUGUUUAAGGCACAUGCUUAUUUCCUUGAAGAAUGGUGCACAUGGGACAAGAAGUCAACACAUUUUGGUGGCUUAUUGAAGGUGGAAAUUGAAGUUUGACUUGUUGAAACAUGACUCACAGCCAAGAGGUUUCCUUAGGCCAUUUGGACUUUUAAUUUAUUUGUUAAUUGCAUAUUGGGUCACUUAAUUUACUAGAAGUAAAAUAGGCUUGUUAAUUUCUCUUGUUUUCACUUAGUUUAAUUAGUAGGUUGAGUUGUCUUCAUGUGUUUGAGUUAGUGUUGCAUUUAAUUAUUUAACUGUGUUAGAUAAUUU
rnacentral:lncRNA from 1 species